AGUGAACGCUGGCGGCAGGCCUAACACAUGCAAGUCGAACGGCAGCACAGUAAGAGCUUGCUCUUACGGGUGGCGAGUGGCGGACGGGUGAGGAAUACAUCGGAAUCUACUUUUUCGUGGGGGAUAACGUCGGGAAACUUACGCUAAUACCGCAUAUGACCUACGGGUGAAAGCAGGGGAUCUUCGGACCUUGCGCGAUUGAAUGAGCCGAUGUCGGAUUAGCUAGUUGGCGGGGUAAAGGCCCACCAAGGCGACGAUCCGUAGCUGGUCUGAGAGGAUGGUCAGCCACACUGGAACUGAGACACGGUCCAGACUCCUACGGGAGGCAGCAGUGGGGAAUAUUGGGCAAUGGGCGCAAGCCUGAUCCAGCCAUACCGCGUGGGUGAAGAAGGCCUUCGGGUUGUAAAGCCCUUUUGUUGGGAAAGAGAAGCAGCAGGUUAAUACCCCGCUGUUCUGACGGUACCCAAAGAAUAAGCACCGGCUAACUUCGUG
rnacentral:rRNA from 1 species